rnacentral:rRNA from 1 species
AUUGAACGCUGGCGGCAUGCUUCACACAUGCAAGUCGAACGGUAACAGGUUAAGCUGACGAGUGGCGAACGGGUGAGUAAUGCAUCGGAACGUGCCCGGUCGUGGGGGAUAACGCAGCGAAAGCUGCGCUAAUACCGCAUACGAUCUGAGGAUGAAAGCGGGGGACCGUAAGGCCUCGCGCGAUCGGAGCGGCCGAUGUCAGGUUAGGUAGUUGGUGGGGUAAAGGCUCACCAAGCCAACGAUCUGUAGCUGGUCUGAGAGGACGACCAGCCACGCUGGGACUGAGAAACGGCCCAGACUCCUACGGGAGGCAGCAGUGGGGAAUUUUAGACAAUGGGCGAAAGUCUGAUCCAGCAAUGCCGCGUGCAGGAAGAAUGCCUUCGGGUUGUAAACUGCUUUUGUACGGGGCGAAAAGGUCUCCUCUAAUACAGGGGGCUCAUGACGGUACCGUAAGAAUAAGCACCGGCUAACUACGUGCCAGCCGCCGCCGUAA